UACAGAGGUGGCAAGCGUUGUUCGGAAUUACUGGGCGUAAAGGGCGCGUAGGCGGCCAUCUAAGUCAGACGUGAAAUCCCCCGGCUUAACCUGGGAACUGCGUCUGAUACUGGCAAGCUUGAGUGCAGGAGAGGAACGCGGAAUUCCAGGUGUAGCGGUGAAAUGCGUAGAUAUCUGGAGGAACACCCGUAGCGAAGGCGGCACUCUGGGCCGAUACUGACACUGAGGAGCGAAAGCGUGGGGAGCGAACAGG
rnacentral:rRNA from 1 species